rnacentral:lncRNA from 10 species
CGACCUUGUGGGCCUUGUGGGCCAGGUCACAGUGUUCAGGAAACGACUGAAUUUCAUUCAAACUUCAGUGAAAAGCCACUGAGGAUUCUAAGCCAAGGGGUGACAUGGCCCACUUUAUAUGUUAAGAAAGUCUGUUACAAGUGGCCCAUAGAGGGGUGAUCAUUGAAGGAGAAGACUGUCUAAGGGUGGCAUUUGUCUAGGUGAGAGGUGGUGGCCUGGACUAGAAUAGUGGCUUGCAGAGAAGAAGAGAAUCAGAUGCAUUUGGAUAUAUUUGGGAGGCAAAAAGGACAGGACUUGCUUAUGGUUCAGAUGAAGCAAGAAUAAAAAAUGCUGCCUGGGUUUCUGGCUCCUGUGGACUGUGAGGACAUUCGCUGCAAAGGCACCAUGCUGGGGGAUGAAUUAAGAGGUCAGGUGCAGAUUCCGGGAGUCAUCUCUUCUGCAGCUUUCUAAACACCUCUGCUCCCUGCAAUCAGAGCUGGUGCACCAAAGUCAACAGGCAAAAAUGGACUGUUUGGUGUUGGAGGCUGAGCAGAGGUGGGCAAAAAGGAACAGAAGGAGAGUAACUGGUGAAGAAGGAGCAAAGAGUGAGGCACAAAAUGAAGUCUCACCAUGUUGCCCAAGCUGGUCUCAAACUCUUGGCCUCCAGAAAUCCUCCAACUUCAGCCUCCCAAGGUGCUGGGAUUACAGAGGACCUCAUUCCAGUCUGCUCUUGGCCAUGCAAUGGACUAUGCUCUAUGAAUUGGCAGGGUCCAGAAAUGUGUUGUAAACUGCACAGCUUAAAGGUCUCAUCCGUAUUUUCAUCUAUGGCUUGCUUCUCCAUUUCAUUCACAAAGAUGUUGGGAGAGAUGUAAACACCCGAGUAGACUAUGCACACCACAGUCCCCCUGCUCUACCAAGCUACUUUUCUUCUGGCGAAUGGCUCAACCCCAGCUCUUAUUGCUCAUUGCCAUUUUUCUGUAAGUAUUCACAAACAAUACAAGUCAUUCAUUCUAGAUUUUCAUUAAAACAAAAAACAACACUUUAAAAUAAAAGCUUUCUACUCUCCCUAGUCUUCCAACAUCUUUCUCAUCUUCACGCUUUCUCAAAGAUUCCUGAUGGGGUAAAAUAAAACACGUGAAAGGGGUAAAGGAAUAAAAAUUGUGUGAGCAUCUUCUGUGGCCUCAGAGUCACACCAGG